AUCAUUGAUAAAGUGGACCGUCGGCUUGCUGGCUGGCGCGGCCUGCUCCUUUCUCUGGCUGGGAGGGCCAUUCUGGUCCGUUCUGUGCUGCGUGCUUUGCCCAUCUAUGCUAUGAGUGCUCUAUUGAUUCCUACGGGCACUCUGCUUGAAAUCAAGAAACGCUGCCGUGCUUUUUUUUGGUCUGGACAGGACUCCAUCUCAGGAGGGCAAUGUAAAGUGGCUUGGGAUCUUGUUUGUGCUCCAUUCGAACAC
rnacentral:rRNA from 1 species